rnacentral:rRNA from 1 species
GCAAGUCGAACGGAGUUCCCUUGGAUAGAGGCUUCGGCCAAUUGAAUUGGAACUUAGUGGCGGACUGGUGAGUAACGCGUGAGGAACCUGCCUUUCAGAGGGGGACAACAGUUGGAAACGACUGCUAAUACCGCAUGACACAUUCGGAUGGCAUCACCUGAAUGUCAAAGAUUUUAUCGCUGAAAGAUGGCCUCGCGUCUGAUUAGCUAGUUGGUGGGGUAACGGCCCACCAAGGCGACGAUCAGUAGCCGGACUGAGAGGUUGAACGGCCACAUUGGGACUGAGAUACGGCCCAGACUCCUACGGGAGGCAGCAGUGGGGAAUAUUGGGCAAUGGGGGAAACCCUGACCCAGCAACGCCGCGUGAAGGAAGAAGGCUUCGGGUUGUAAACUUCUUUUACCAGGGACGAAGACGUGACGGUACCUGGAGAAAAAGCCACGGCUAACUACGUG